rnacentral:rRNA from 1 species
AGUCAGACAGUGUGAGAUAAGUUUCAUUGUCAAAAGGGAAACAGCCCAGACCCACAGCUAAGGUCCCAAAGUACAGUUAAGUGGUGAAGGAUGUGGAAUUGCAUAGACAACCAGGAUGUUGGCUUAGAAGCAGCCACUCAUUAAAAGAGUGCGUAAUAGCUCACUGGUCGAGUGAUUCUGCGCCGAAAAUUUAACGGGGCUAAAUUGUACACCGAAGCUUGGGAUACAUCUAAUGUAUGGUAGGAGAGCGUUGUAUACGGGGUGAAGUCAGAGCGGAAGCGCUGGUGGACUGUAUACAAGUGAGAAUGCCGGAAUGAGUAGCGAGAAUUAUGUGAGAAUCAUAAUGGCCGAAAGACUAAGGUUUUAGAAGGAAGGUUCGUCCGCUUCUAGUCAGCCGGGAGCUAAGGCGAGGCCGAAAGGCGUAGUCGAUGCACAUACGGUGGAGAUUCCGUAGCCGCCAUUAAUUUAAACAGAGGGACACUUUCAAGGGGCAUGACCCGGGCGUUGGUAGACCCGGGCGUAAGGGACCGAAAAUUAGUAGGGAAGCAUGCUUUAAGGAAGGCGAGAAAAGCUCUGUGUAUAGAAGAUGGCGCCCGUACCGCAAACCGACACAGGUAGUCAGGAAGAGAAUUCUAAGGCCAACGGGAGAAGGGUAGUUAAGGAACUCGGCAAAUUGACCCCGUAACUUCGGAAUAAGGGGUGCUCACGAGAGUGAGCCGCAGUGAAUAGGUCCAGGCGACUGUUUAUCAAAAACACAGCUCUCUGCUAAAUCGAAAGAUGACGUAUAGGGGGUGACACCUGCCCGGUGCUGGAAGGUUAAGAGGAAGGGUGCAAGCUCUGAAUUGAAGCCCCAGUAAACGGCGGCCGUAACUAUAACGGUCCUAAGGUAGCGAAAUUCCUUGUCGGGUAAGUUCCGACCCGCACGAAUGGUGUAACGAUCUGGACACUGUCUCAACUACCCACCCGGCGAAAUUGUAGUACCGGUGAAGAUGCCGGUUACCCGCGGCAAGACGGAAAGACCCCAUGGAGCUUUACUGUAACCUGAUAUUGGGUUUCGGUAUUUUAUGUACAGGAUAGGUGGGAGACUAUGAAACUAAGGCGCCAGCCUUAGCGGAGUCGCCCUUGGGAUACCACUCUUAAAGUACUGAAAUUCUAACCUGCGGCCGUGAAUCCGGUCGGGGGACAUUGUCAGGCGGGCAGUUUGACUGGGGCGGUCGCCUCCAAAAGAGUAACGGAGGCGCUCAAAGGUUCG